ACGCUGGCGGCGUGCCUAAUACAUGCAAGUCGAACGAGAGCGACCGGUGCUUGCACUGGUCAAUCUAGUGGCGAACGGGUGAGUAACACGUGGGUAACCUGCCCAUCAGAGGGGGAUAACAUUCGGAAACGGAUGCUAAAACCGCAUAGGUCCUUUAACCGCAUGGUUGAAGGAGGAAAAGAGGCGCAAGCUUCUGCUGAUGGAUGGACCCGCGGUGCAUUAGCUAGUUGGUGAGGUAACGGCUCACCAAGGCCGUGAUGCAUAGCCGACCUGAGAGGGUGAUCGGCCACAUUGGGACUGAGACACGGCCCAAACUCCUACGGGAGGCAGCAGUAGGGAAUCUUCCGCAAUGGACGCAAGUCUGACGGAGCAACGCCGCGUGAGUGAAGAAGGUUUUCGGAUCGUAAAACUCUGUUGUUAGAGAAGAACAAGUGCUAGAGUAACUGUUAGCGCCUUGACGGUAUCUAACCAGAAAGCCACGGCUAACUACGUGCCAGCAGCCGCGGUAAUACGUAGGUGGCAAGCGUUGUCCGGAUUUAUUGGGCGUAAAGCGAGCGCAGGCGGUUCCUUAAGUCUGACGUGAAAGCCCCCGGCUCAACCGGGGAGGGUCAUUGGAAACUGGGGAACUUGAGUGCAGAAGAGGAGAGUGGAAUUCCAUGUGUAGCGGUGAAAUGCGUAGAUAUAUGGAGGAACACCAGUGGCGAAGGCGACUCUCUGGUCUGUAACUGACGCUGAGGCUCGAAAGCGUGGGUAGCAAACAGGAUUAGAUACCCUGGUAGUCCACGCCGUAAACGAUGAGUGCUAAGUGUUGGAGGGUUUCCGCCCUUCAGUGCUGCAGUUAACGCAUUAAGCACUCCGCCUGGGGAGUACGACCGCAAGGUUGAAACUCAAAGGAAUUUGACGGGGACCC
rnacentral:rRNA from 1 species